rnacentral:misc_RNA from 1 species
GUACAUUAGUGCUUGCGCACGACAGUAGUUUUCAUUACAUUCGAGUUGGGGUGUAAAAUCCUCUGUCAGCCGAAGCCAGCAAGAGGCCAAAGGUUCACAAGGGUAUUUGGAUGAAAGUCACCAACGUGCACUUGCUGGGAGCCAGCCAGCACUGAAGGCAACAAUUCACAAUCACUAAUGAUCCUUCCGCAGGUUCACCUACGGAAA